rnacentral:rRNA from 1 species
UCAGAGCGAACGUUAGCGGCGGGCCUAACACAUGCAAGUCGAACGAGAACAGUCCCUUCGGGGACCAAGUUAUAGUGGCGCACGGGUGCGUAACACGUAGGUAAUCUACCCUCUGGCGGGGGAUAACGUCUCGAAAGAGACGCUAAUACCGCAUAAGACCACAGACUCUGCGGAGACAGUGGGAAAAGGUGGCCUCUCCAUGGAAGCUACCACCGGAGGAUGAGCCUGCGUAUCAUCAGCUUGUUGGUAAGGUAACGGCUUACCAAGGCUUAGACGAUUAGCUGGUCUGAGAGGAUGAUCAGCCACACUGGUACUGGAACACGGACCAGACUCCUACGGGAGGCAGCAGUGGGGAAUAUUGGACAAUGGGCGCAAGCCUGAUCCAGCCACGCCGCGUGAGUGAUGAAGGCCUUCGGGUUGUAAAGCUCUGUGGGUAAGAACGAAAAAGGUUAGUUCAAAUAGGGCUGGCCCUUGACGGUACUUACUUAGCAAGCACCGGCUAACUCUGUGCCAGCAGCCGCGGUAAGACAGAGGGUGCGAACGUUGCUCGGAAUCACUGGGCGUAAAGCGCGUGUAGGCGGAUUUGCAAGUCGGGUGUGAAAUCCCCGGGCUCAACCUGGGAACUGCAUCCGAAACAGCAUAUCUUGAGUGUCGGAGAGGGAAGUGGAAUUGCUGGUGUAGGGGUGAAAUCCGUAGACAUCAGCAGGAACAUCAGUGGCGAAGGCGGCUUCCUGGACGAUAACUGACGCUGAGACGCGAAA